rnacentral:lncRNA from 1 species
GAUAUUGGCUCAGCCCCUGGAAGGCUGGCUUCCCUCAGGCAGAGGAGUGACCCAGAGUGGCCUAAGAUGGACCAAGCUGCUUGGGAUCAAGGCCCGAGGAGAUGGCUUCCAGGGCAUCCUCCCCACAGCCUGCCUUCUCUCGGAGACAGACACGCUUCCUUCUGCCUCCAGGUCCCCGCCAGCAGGAGUCUGUGAUUAAAUGGAGACACAGAUGCUGCCUUCUGCAGGGCUUGUCCUCCACAUCUAGUUGCGGCCACUUAGCUGACUCAGGUGCUGAGCUCUGGACUGACUCUUAAGAGGCUGUUGCUGUUGCUCAGUUCCUUUUUUUCCUGCAUGAGAGAGGAUCUCCCCUUGUACCCAUG